UGGUAAUUAGUUUAAUUAAAAUUAAUGAUUUCGACUCAUUAGAUUAUGAU
rnacentral:tRNA from 1 species